ensembl:lncRNA
CGGCGCUACGCCGGCCGCGCUUGUCCUGGGCGCGCGCAAAGGGGUCUAGGGAGCUGCAAGGUUCCUGCAGCCGGCGGGGAGCCUUGAAACUGACACCACCGCCACCACCACCCCUCACACAUAGACAUGUACACACAAGCGGCGCCGUCCGAGCUGGUUCUUAGUCACAAACUCAGAACCGACUGAUUCACUUAUGCGACGAUUUUCGGAAUCGAUUGUUUCUUCAGUGUCGGACUUUUCGAGGCUCCUGAUGGAAGUCGGGGUGUUGCAUGAAGCCCCAAGAACGGUGCGCGCACGCGCGCAUGGGCACGCGUUAUCGUUCUUGAAGAAAAAGCGUUUAGAUCCUGCAAGUUCCAAGGGAAGACUUCCCGCAAUGAUGGAGUGUCGGGUGUGCCCUGUGCAACUGGUGUAUUCGAUUGACAAAGUGGCUAGACUCACAGGAAGUGCGGCAUAUGGACCAGCUAAACAAGAUGAAGGAUGUAAAUGGAGAGGUGGUGGUUUUGUGGUUAGGGACCUGCAUACAAUUGAACUAACCCAGAAAAGUAAGCAGUCGGGUUUGCGAUUCCCUGCCUUCCGAUGAACCCACCCCCAAGCCCCCAGAAUGUUAGGCAGGUAAAAAGUAAAAGCCUUGCUUUCCCCAGCAAGCAAACCAAUCUCUAUGGUAACACAUUCUAGAGAGGAAAUAAAAAGGCCGCGUAUAUUUACAAAACUCACAUCUGACACGAACCUAAUUUAUUUCAUAGGCAGAUUCUUGUAGUGGCUUUAUGUGGCUUCCUUAGAACGAGCUACCCACAACAUUUGACCACUCUCUUUGGAGACAGGGGCUCGUCUGUAGCUAAGGCUGACCUGAAAACUGUGAUGUCCCUACUCAGCUUCCUGAGUUCAGGUAUUACAUAGGCUUGUACCUGUCCCUGUCCUAGGCAGUUUGGUUUUUAUGAACCUGUGCAGCCCAGACCUUUGAAUAAUGGUGGGAAACUAAGAAUAGGAUCGUGUAUGGGCAACGAUUAAUCCAGACUCUAACUCUGUUUCCAUUUCUAUGCAGUUGUCACUGAGAGCAAGACCCUAGGGGGGAAUAAAUCUAUUUAAGAG